UACGUAGGGCGCAAGCGUUAUCCGGAAUUAUUGGGCGUAAAGAGCUCGUAGGCGGUUUGUCGCGUCUGCCGUGAAAGUCCGGGGCUCAACUCCGGAUCUGCGGUGGGUACGGGCAGACUAGAGUGCGGUAGGGGUGACUGGAAUUCCUGGUCGUAGCGGUGGAAUGCGCAGAUAUCAGGAGGAACACCGAUGGCGAAGGCAGGUCACUGGGCCGCAACUGACGCUGAGGAGCGAAAGCAUGGGGAGCGAACAGG
rnacentral:rRNA from 1 species